UUUAAAUUGAGAGUUUGAUCCUGGCUCAGGAUGAACGCUGGUGGCGUGCCUAAUACAUGCAAGUCGUACGCUAGCCGCUGAAUUGAUCCUUCGGGUGAAGUGAGGCAAUGACUAGAGUGGCGAACUGGUGAGUAACACGUAAGAAACCUGCCCUUUAGUGGGGGAUAACAUUUGGAAACAGAUGCUAAUACCGCGUAACAACAAAUCACACAUGUGAUCUGUUUGAA
rnacentral:rRNA from 1 species